ACGCACGCUGGCGGCGUGCUUCACCCCUGCCAGUCGCACGGAAAGGCCCUGCUUUUGUGGGGUGCUCGAGUGGCGAACGGGUGAGUAACACGUGAGUAACCUGCCCUUGACUUUGGGAUAACUUCAGGAAGCUGGGGCUAAUACCGGAUAGGAGCUCCUGCUGCAUGGUGGGGGUUGGAAAGUUUCGGCGGUUGGGGAUGGACUCGCGGCUUAUCAGCUUGUUGGUGGGGUAGUGGCUUACCAAGGCUUUGACGGGUAGCCGGCCUGAGAGGGUGACCGGCCACAUUGGGACUGAGAUACGGCCCAGACUCCUACGGGAGGCAGCAGUGGGGAAUAUUGCACAAUGGGCGGAAGCCUGAUGCAGCAACGCCGCGUGCGGGAUGACGGCCUUCGGGUUGUAAACCGCUUUCGCCUGUGACGAAGCGUGAGUGACGGUAAUGGGUAAAGAAGCACCGGCUAACUACGUG
rnacentral:rRNA from 1 species